UUUCAAUGAACACAUCCAGUCACAGGUUAUAAGGCAGUGUUUGGUAUAAUUAUUUAAUUAAUGGGAAUGAAAUAGUGUCAUAUUGAAGCGCUUGAAUACCCAUUAGAGGACAGAGAACUGUGGCUUAGAGCCACCUUAGGGUAGUUCUUUUUUUUUUUUUUCUUCGAGACAGGGCUUCUCUGUAUAGCUCUGGCUGUCCUGGAACUCACUUUGUGGACCAGGCUGGCCUCGAACUAAGAAAUCCUCCUGCCUUUGCCUCCCAAGUGCUGAGAUUAAGGCAUGCAGUUCACAUUUUAAAAUAAUGAAAUGAUAAAUAUUAUUUCCUCCUUACAUUUUCCUUUCCUAUGUAUAGCAUGUUGAUAGAAAUAAAGACAUCAGUCUUUUUAAAAAAAAUAAAUUUAUUACAUACGUUUUAUUGAUAUUUUCUUUAUUUACAUUUCAAGUGUUUUCCUUUUUCCAGGUCUCCCCUUUGGAAACCUUCUAUCCCAUCCCCCAUCCCCAGCCUCUAUGAGAGUGCUCUCCUAUCUACCCACCCACUCCUGUCUUCACUCCCUAACAUUCCCCUACACUGGGGCAUUGAACACCCUCAUGUCCAAGGUUCUCUUCUCCCACUUGUCCAACAAGGCCAUCCUCCACCACAUAUGCAGCUGGAACUAUGGGUCCCUCUAUGUGUAUUCUUUGGUAGGUGGUCUAGUCCCUGGGAGCUCCUGGGGGCCUGGUCAAUGGACACUUACUCCCUCCAUGUGGCUGCAAACUCCCUCAGCUCCUUCAGUCUUUUCUCCAACUCCUCCAUCUGGGACCCUGUUUUCAGUCCAGUGAUCAGGUUCUGUAUUUGUCAGGCUCUGGCUGGGCAUAUAACCAGAAGAUGCUCCAACAUGUAAUAAGGACACAUGCUCCACUAUGUUCAUAGCAGCCAUAUUUAUAAUAGCUGGAAACAACCCAGAUGUCUCUCAACAGAGGAAUGGAUACAGAAAAUGUGGUACAUUUACACAGUGGAAUACUAUUCAGCUAUUAAAAACAAUGACUUCAUGAAAUUUGUAGGCAAAUGGAUGGAACUAGAAAAUAUUAUCCUGAGUGAGGUAAUUCAGUCACAAAAGAACACACAUGGUAUAUGCUCAUUGAUAAGUGGAAAUUAGCCCAAAAGUUCAGAAUACCCAAGAUUCAAUUCACAGAUCAUGCAAACAAAGCCCAAGAAGAAGGAAGACCAAAAUGUAGCUGCUUCAGGGUUUCUUAGAAGGGUGAACAAAAUACUCAUAGGAGGAAAUAUGGAGACAGAGUGUGGAGCAGAGACUGUCUUUCUCUUUUAGAUACCAAGAAUUUUGAUUGCUGUAGCAACUUAUUGACAAGAGACUUAAAGGUGGUUCAUUCUCAAUCUUCCCCUCUUUUUUCUCUUUCUAUACAGAAAAUGAGCACAAGGACAAGACGAUCAAUGUAGUCUUUAUACCCAGUAAACUUGUUGUUUAGUGAUGACAUCAUUCCUAAGCAUACAUAUUAAGCAAGUGAGAGAAUGUACGUGCUUUUCAUCCAUUGAACACUGCACUAUCUGAUUUUUAAAGUUUUCCCCUCCCUUUCUUUCUCCACUCUCAGCAUCCCCUUGCUCCUUUCCCUCCCCCCUUCCUAAAAUUGUGAUGCCAGGGUUUUUGGUGGGUGCAAAGAAGGAGGGGAAAGUCAGUGAAAGAAAGUCUUAAAAAGCUUGUGCUCAAACAGAGCCUGGUUGCUAGGGGGAAACACGGUUAUUUGUAGCUAACACGAAGCCAUUCCAAAAUGAGCUCAGCAUUAGAGGCAAACAAGUUCUACAUUUUUAAGAGGCAUGGAUUGAAUUUUCCAACAUACAAAAAUAAUCUUUUGACAUUUUUGGAUCCAGAGAUCUUUGUAUUUAAAGCUUAUGAACUGCUGGGGGUGGGGAGGAGCAGGGAGUAAAGUUUCUAGGUCGAGGACAUGAGUCAAAAAUAACUCAUGUAUUGAUUUGGAGCAUUUGUUUGUAAAUACUUAUUUUUCUAUGAAUUUUAUUGUGAAGUUGGAUUAAUCAAUAUAAACUGGCAUGCUGGAGAAACAAAUGUGUAAUUGUAUUUCAGUUUUAUUUACUUUUUCCCUAAGCACAGAGACUUAGAAUUCAAAUCUUUCUGGGUUGCUCUACAAAUUUGUAUAGUGAUAUUAGAUAAGUUAGGCAAAUUUUUAAAUGAUUUCCAUAUGAGUCAAUUCAUUUUAGUUACACUGCUUUAAAUUUUGCUACUGGAGGAGGAGGAGCAAUUUACACACAUCAUCACAAAGUCUUCAGUAAGU
rnacentral:lncRNA from 1 species